GACGUAGGAUGCAAGCGUUGUCCGGAUUUAUUGGGCGUAAAGAGUUCGUAGGUGGUUUGUUAAGUCUGAUGUUAAAGACUGGGGCUCAACCUCGGGACUGCAUUGGAUACUGGCAGACUUGAGUGCGGUAGAGGCAAGUGGAAUUCCGGGUGUAGCGGUGGAAUGCGUAGAUAUCUGGAGGAAUACCGGUGGCGAAGGCGGCAUCCUGGACCGGCAUUGACGCUGAGUGAGCGAAAGCCAGGGGAGCAAACGGG
rnacentral:rRNA from 1 species